ACUGUACGUAGUUUACAUUCCCAUCUGAUACGUGAAGAAUAUGUUUUUUUGUCAAGGGCUCCUAAAGCUAUUAAACCUUACAGGUACAUGAAGAUGAGAGAGAGAAAAUCUUACUCCUAGCAGUGCCAUACAUACGGAGGAAAAAAGGUUAGCUGUGCUGUCUUUCAUUCCCGUGCGUGCUAGCAGCAGAAAAAUUUUGACAAGAAGCCCAGUUUCGGAAGCUUUGACACAAAGUAUGUCAGAGACCGAGAUUCCUGUCGCUGUCGUGCUGAAGCCAGCGUGUCGCAGAAGGGAGCAAGCUGCCACGGG